GUAGUUCAGCGGUAGAAUGUCCGCCUCGCAAGCGAGAGGUCGCGGGUUCGAAUCCCGCC
rnacentral:tRNA from 1 species